rnacentral:rRNA from 1 species
AACGAACGCUGGCGGCGUGCCUAACACAUGCAAGUCGAACGGAAUUAGAGAGCUUGCUCUUUGAUUUAGUGGCGCACGGGUGAGUAACGCGUAGAUAAUCUGCCUGACGAUCUGGGAUAACACUUCGAAAGAGGUGCUAAUACCGGAUAAGCCCACGGGUUCUUUGGAAUCUGCGGGAAAAGGGGGGGACCUUCGGGCCUUCUGUCGUCAGAUGAGUCUGCGUACCAUUAGCUAGUUGGUAGGGUAAAGGCCUACCAAGGCGACGAUGGUUAGCUGGUCUGAGAGGAUGAGCAGCCACACUGGAACGGAGACACGGUCCAGACUCCUACGGGAGGCAGCAGUGGGGAAUUUUGCGCAAUGGGCGAAAGCCUGACGCAGCAACGCCGCGUGAGUGAUGAAGGCUUUCGGGUCGUAAAGCUCUGUCAAUGGGAAAGAAGUGUAUUUUGGCUAAUAUCCUUAAUACUUGACGGUACCCAUAAAGGAAGCACCGGCUAACUCCGUGCCAGCAGCCGCAGUAAAAC